rnacentral:rRNA from 1 species
GCUAAUUGCGCGUUGCCAUGUGAACUGCAGGACACAUGAACAUUGACAAUUCGAACGCACAUUGCGGCCCUAGGACUUGUUCCUGGGCCACACCUGACUGAGGGUCGG